AGGGUUUGAUCAUGGCUCAGAACGAACGCUGGCGGCGCGUUUUGAGCAUGCAAGUCGAACGGUAGUAGGGUGCUUGCACCCUAUGAGAGUGGCGAACGGGUGAGUAACACGUAGGUGAUCUGCCCUUGAGUUGGGGAUAGCCCAUGGAAACAUGGGGUAAUACCGAAUACGAUCCGGAUACUGUGGUAACCGGAGGAAAAGCGCUUCGGCGCUGCUCGAGGAUGAGCCUGCGGCUGAUUAGCUAGUUGGUAGGGUAAUGGCCUACCAAGGCGACGAUCAGUAGCCGGCCUGAGAGGGUGAGCGGCCACACUGGGACUGAGAUACGGCCCAGACUCCUACGGGAGGCAGCAGCUAAGAAUCUUCCGCAAUGGACGAAAGUCUGACGGAGCGACGCCGCGUGGGUGAUGAAGGCCGGAAGGUUGUAAAGCCCUUUUCUGAUUGAGGAAUAAGCACAGGAGGCAAUGCCUGUGUGAUGACGGUAGGUCAGGAAUAAGCCCCGGCCAAUUACGUGCCAGCAGCCGCGGUAACACGUAUGGGGCGAGCGUUGCUCGGAAUCAUUGGGCGUAAAGGGCGCGCAGGCGGUUAUACAAGCCUGGUGUGAAAGACCGCAGCUUAACUGCGGGAGCGCGCUGGGAACUGUAUGACUAGAGUUCAAGAGGGGAAGCUGGAAUUUCUGGUGUAGGGGUGAAAUCUGUAGAGAUCAGAAAGAACAUCAGUGGCGAAGGCGAGCUUCUGGCUAUGAACUGACGCUGAGGCGCGAAAGCGUGGGGAGCGAACAGGAUUAGAUACCCUGCUAGUCCACGCUGUAAACGAUGUGCACUAGGUGUUGGGCCAUUGGAGGUUCAGUGCCGUAGCUAACGCGUUA
rnacentral:rRNA from 1 species